ACGGGUGAGUAAUACAUCGGAACGUGCCCAAUCGUGGGGGAUAACGCAGCGAAAGCUGUGCUAAUACCGCAUACGAUCUACGGAUGAAAGCAGGGGAUCGCAAGACCUUGCGCGAAUGGAGCGGCCGAUGGCAGAUUAGGUAGUUGGUGAGGUAAAGGCUCACCAAGCCUUCGAUCUGUAGCUGGUCUGAGAGGACGACCAGCCACACUGGGACUGAGACACGGCCCAGACUCCUACGGGAGGCAGCAGUGGGGAAUUUUGGACAAUGGGCGAAAGCCUGAUCCAGCCAUGCCGCGUGCAGGAUGAAGGCCUUCGGGUUGUAAACUGCUUUUGUACGGAACGAAACGGUCUUUUCUAAUAAAGAAGGCUAAUGACGGUACCGUAAGAAUAGGCACCGGCUAACUACGUGCCAGCAGCCGCGGUAAUACGUAGGGUGCAAGCGUUAAUCGGAAUUACUGGGCGUAAAGCGUGCGCAGGCGGUGAUGUAAGACAGUUGUGAAAUCCCCGGGCUCAACCUGGGAACUGCAUCUGUGACUGCAUCGCUGGAGUACGGCAGAGGGGGAUGGAAUUCCGCGUGUAGCAG
rnacentral:rRNA from 1 species